AGAGUUUGAUCCUGGCUCAGAACGAACGCUGGCGGCAGGCUUAACACAUGCAAGUCGAGCGCCCCGCAAGGGGAGCGGCAGACGGGUGAGUAACGCGUGGGAAUCUACCCAUCACUACGGAACAACUCCGGGAAACUGGAGCUAAUACCGUAUACGUCCUUCGGGAGAAAGAUUUAUCGGUGAUGGAUGAGCCCGCGUUGGAUUAGCUAGUUGGUGGGGUAAUGGCCUACCAAGGCGACGAUCCAUAGCUGGUCUGAGAGGAUGAUCAGCCACAUUGGGACUGAGACACGGCCCAAACUCCUACGGGAGGCAGCAGUGGGGAAUAUUGGACAAUGGGCGAAAGCCUGAUCCAGCCAUGCCGCGUGAGUGAUGAAGGCCCUAGGGUUGUAAAGCUCUUUCACCGGUGAAGAUAAUGACGGUAACCGGAGAAGAAGCCCCGGCUAACUUCGUGCCAGCAGCCGCGGUAAUACGAAGGGGGCUAGCGUUGCUCGGAAUUACUGGGCGUAAAGGGAGCGUAGGCGGACAUUUAAGUCAGGGGUGAAAUCCCGGAGCUCAACUCCGGAACUGCCUUUGAUACUGGGUGUCUUGAGUGUGAGAGAGGUAUGUGGAACUCCGAGUGUAGAGGUGAAAUUCGUAGAUAUUCGGAAGAACACCAGUGGCGAAGGCGACAUACUGGCUCAUUACUGACGCUGAGGCUCGAAAGCGUGGGGAGCAAACAGGAUUAGAUACCCUGGUAGUCC
rnacentral:rRNA from 1 species